GUGUCAGCAGCCGCGGUAAUACAGAGGGUGCGAGCGUUAAUCGGAAUUACUGGGUGUAAAGGGCGCGUAGGCGGCAAGAUGUGUGUGAUGUGAAAGCCCCGGGCUCAACCUGGGAAGUGCAUUGCAAACUGUCUGGCUAGAGUAUAUGAGAGGGUGGCGGAAUUUCCGGUGUAGCGGUGAAAUGCGUAGAGAUCGGAAGGAACGUCAAUGGCGAAGGCAGCCACCUGGCAUAAUACUGACGCUGAGGCGCGAAAGCGUGGGGAGCGAACAGGAUUAGAAACCCGGGUAGUCC
rnacentral:rRNA from 1 species